GAACACGGAUUUCAAGGAUUUGAAUGUAUUGCGGCGGCAAACAAGAUCCGCAGAUGGAAAUAUAGGAUGUAUACAUAUGGAAAGUGUUAAAGGGUAAUUACAAUAUGUAUCCGACGGUUCAACAGAAGUAUGUGGCCUGUAUCUUAUAGGUCAACCAAACGAGGUUGUUGUUGUAGCAUUUCUAGAAUUCAACGUUAAUUGUGAAACUGGAGGUGUUUUGGCGACAUUAGACGGCUGGGAGCUCCAGGGUGACUUGUUCCCCAGUGAAAAUGACCACACCCUCAGUCUGGCAGAGAGGUAUCACAUGUACUGUGGAGAAACUAGGCCAAAGAAAAUAUUUAUAUCAUCACAAAACGUUGCCUUGAUACAGUUUAGACACCCCAAUCCAGGCGAGGGAUUUAAAGUGUUCGUGAAUUUCAAAAAGAAUCCCCAACCCUGUAACGCAGUGGCCAUGUUUGACAUGGGAACACUUACUAUGAAGAAUUACGGCUAACGUCGU